GUUUCCUUCCGGAGUCUUAAACAGCUUCUCUCCAGGAUGGAGUAUAGUGAUCUGGAGGGAUUUACUGGACAGCAGACAACAAGUGCCUGCCUCUUCUUUUGUUUGACUAUUUGUUUUGUUGUUUUGCUUUUAUUGUUGUUUAUUUUUGCCUUCCGCUUGUGGUCUUGUUUUGUUGUUCUGACUGGCCCAGGACUCGUAAUAAUUCGUUGCCUCAGCCUGCUGAGUGCUGAGAAUACAGGCGUGAGCAAACUUGCCCCUUCCGAGGGGGCUCAGAAAAUGUUCCUGAGAGCUUUGCAGAGAGUAGGCAUUCAGUCUGAGCUAAUUGCUUGUUCGUUGCUCUUAGAAAUGAACACAGUCUGCUGGCAAAUGAGACUAUUCUGCUCAUUUCACAUAAUAUUAACACAACCGAUAGGGAAUCUGUGCUAUAACUAUGGAGCACGACAACGGGAAAGAACUUGAUAAGUCUUCUUAUCACAUCAAAGGAAGAGGCCAGUCUUAUAGCACGAAAGGAAGUUGACCAUGUACUCGGGGAGACCGUCUGACCUGCUCUCCAGUCCUAGCCGGUCCGAUCAAGUGUGUGAGCAAGGCUCUGGCAGGCCUCUCCUCUUUCUCUUGUUAAAACCAUAAGAUUUCUAACGCUAGCCCCCAAUGUCUACUCCCUUGUUUUUCCACAUCCUCCUCCUGAGGCUGACUACCAAACUCUGGCCAUCAAAUUAUUGAAACCCUGCACUCAAAAGACUCUUUUGGCUCACCUAAUUAAUAAGCCCUAUCAGAACCAAGCACUUCACCUUAAGGUUCUGCAGUAUCUAUCAGUAUUCCAGUACUCCUCGUGAACAGAGGGAGUCAAGGAGGCAGAGAUAGAAGCCAUGAAGGAAGCAAAACGAUUGGUCGAGAAUUUAGAGUGACACUUUGAAGUACAGAUGACCUGGUUGACCAUUGCUCUUCAUUUUCCCUCCUGUUUAUGUAAGAGUUGCUUUCCCAUCAUCCCCUAACCUGUCGAGUGUGCUUCACCCUGGAUUGUACUCCUUGAAUCUUGAUCCUGCUAUCCAUUAAAUAAAACUCGAAAUAUUUCACUUUGAUUAGCCACUAGCAACACAUAUACAGUUAUAAGCCAGACCCAGUACUAGGUGUCAACAAUAUAGUAAUAAAUCAAAUUUGGUCCAUGGCUUGAAAAUGCUACUGAAUCAAGUAUUUAUUAGCAGCAUACGAAAGCACCCAAUAAAAGUGUUCCGUGAGCUACUGUGAUCCAUGAUUACAUGCACAUAAAUCUAUGGUGUUAUUAGAGUGGACAAAAUAUUUCAUGUUAAUAUGUUUAUUGACGAGAUUAGGGGGCAUUCCUUAUUCAUUUUUCAUGUGCACAGCAUUUUACUGUGGCCUUCUGGAGACAAUUUCCUCUUUGUUCAAUACAUUGGUGGAUAAAUGUCAGAUGAUAAAGGGAGUAUUGAUGAUAGAGAGAAAGCAAGGGGGCAGCCAUGGAGAAUGGGGCUAGCCGCUCUCUGCAGUGUAUCAUUGCUGGAAUAUGAAAUCCUUUAUCAUUAAAGGUUCCUACUAUACAGGCUAAA